GCUCACCUAAUUCUCUCUCCUCUUUAUGAAGAACGGAAUUUCUCAGCAAGACAUGAUUCUCCAUUAAAGAAUAAAAGCCGCUUUAAUGAAGAACGGAAUUGCUCAGCAAGGAUUGUGGUCUGGUGCCGUCUUCUGAAGAAUCACUUAGAAGAGAAUCCGUCAUUCACAAACACAAUGAGGUUCCGAUUGAAUUUACUCAUAACAGUAAGAGCGUGAAAAAAGACUAAUGUACUGCGAUUCUGGAGCACAAGAAAUCGCCGAAUCGAUUGGUUCUUGAUGAAGCCGUCUUGUUGUUGCCAUGCAACCUUAUACUAUGGAAAAGCUUCAGCUCUUUCGUGGUGAUACUGUAUUGCUCAAGGUAAGUGACAGAAAGUCAAUCACAGAAAGUGAGGUCUCACAAGCAAAAAUCCUUGCAAAAGCAAUUACACCUCAAAUAUUAUGAAUAUGAAGCUUUGAAGUAGGUAAUUCUUAGAUCACCUCGCUGGCUGCAAAAACCUAAAACCAGCAAGCGGGAUGUACGACCGUCGACUAUGAUGGGAAUAAUGUGAAACUCGGGUGAUUAUACAUUAUUUAAACUUUGAUUUUAGGGUGACAUGUAAGAUCAUACACUCACGGCUCACACCCGUACUUGAAUUUACAAGAUAGGGAUUAUUCA